rnacentral:rRNA from 1 species
UACGUAGGGUGCAGGCGUUAAUCGGAAUUACUGGGCGUAAAGCGUGCGCAGGCGGUCUCUUAAGACAGGUGUGAAAUCCCCGGGCUUAACCUGGGAACUGCGCUUGUAACUGAGAGGCUAGAGUAUGGCAGAGGGGGGUGGAAUUCCACGUGUAGCAGUGAAAUGCGUAGAGAUGUGGAGGAACACCGAUGGCGAAGGCAGCCCCCUGGGCUAACACUGACGCUCAUGCACGAAAGCGUGGGGAGCAAACAGG